rnacentral:rRNA from 1 species
GGGCCCGCACAAGCAGCGGAGCAUGUGGUUUAAUUCGAAGCAACGCGAAGAACCUUACCUAGACUUGACAUACACUUGAAAGACUCGUAAUGGAGUAAGCCGAAAGGCAAGUGAACAGAUGGUGCAUGGUUGUCGUCAGCUCGUGUCGUGAGAUGUUGGGUUAAGUCCCGCAACGAGCGCAACCCUUAUUGUUAGUUGCUACAUAAAGAUGAGCACUCUAACGAGACUGCCUGGGUUAACCAGGAGGAAGGUGGGGAUGAUGUCAAAUCAUCAUGCCUCUUACGUCUAGGGCUACACACGUGCUACAAUGGUGACAACAAAGAGAAGCAAAGUAGUGAAUACGGAGCAAAACUUAGAAAAGUCAAUCUCAGUUCGGAUUGCAGGCUGCAACUCGCCUGCAUGAAGCCGGAGUUGCUAGUAAUCGCGAAUCAGCAUGUCG